rnacentral:rRNA from 1 species
ACGCUGGCGGCGUGCCUAAUACAUGCAAGUAGAACGCUGAAGGAGGAGCUUGCUUCUCCGGAUGAGUUGCGAACGGGUGAGUAACGCGUAGGUAACCUGCCUGGUAGCGGGGGAUAACUAUUGGAAACGAUAGCUAAUACCGCAUAAGAGUAGAUGUCGCAUGACAUUUGCUUAAAAGGUGCAAUUGCAUCACUACCAGAUGGACCUGCGUUGUAUUAGCUAGUUGGUGGGGUAACGGCUCACCAAGGCGACGAUACAUAGCCGACCUGAGAGGGUGAUCGGCCACACUGGGACUGAGACACGGCCCAGACUCCUACGGGAGGCAGCAGUAGGGAAUCUUCGGCAAUGGACGGAAGUCUGACCGAGCAACGCCGCGUGAGUGAAGAAGGUUUUCGGAUCGUAAAGCUCUGUUGUAAGAGAAGAACGAGUGUGAGAGUGGAAAGUUCACACUGUGACGGUAUCUUACCAGAAAGGGACGGCUAGCUACGUGCCAGCAGCCGCGGUAAUACGUAGGUCCCGAGCGUUGUCCGGAUUUAUUGGGCGUAAAGCGAGCGCAGGCGGUUAGAUAAGUCUGAAGUUAAAGGCUGUGGCUUAACCAUAGUACGCUUUGGAAACUGUUUAACUUGAGUGCAAGAGGGGAGAGUGGAAUUCCAUGUGUAGCGGUGAAAUGCGUAGAUAUAUGGAGGAACACCGGUGGCGAAAGCGGCUCUCUGGCUUGUAACUGACGCUGAGGCUCGAAAGCGUGGGGAGCAAACAGGAUUAGAUACCCCUGGUAGUCCACGCCGUAAACGAUGAGUGCUAGGUGUUAGACCCUUUCCGGGGUUUAGUGCCGCAGCUAACGCAUUAAGCACUCCGCCUGGGGAGUACGACCGCAAGGUUGAAACUCAAAGGAAUUGACG